GACGAACGCUGGCGGCGUGCUUAACACAUGCAAGUCGAGCGGUAAGGCCUUUCGGGGUACACGAGCGGCGAACGGGUGAGUAACACGUGGGUGAUCUGCCCUGCACUCUGGGAUAAGCCUGGGAAACUGGGUCUAAUACUGGAUAUGACCUCAGCAUGCAUGUGCUGGGGUGGAAAGCUUUUGUGGUGCAGGAUGGGCCCGCGGCCUAUCAGCUUGUUGGUGGGGUAAUGGCCUACCAAGGCGACGACGGGUCGCUGACCUGAGAGGGUGACCGGCCACAGUGGGACGGAGACACGGCCCAGACUCCUACGGGAGGCAGCAGUGGGGAAUAUUGCACAAUGGGCGGAAGCCUGAUGCAGCGACGCCGCGUGGGGGAUGAAGGCCUUCGGGUUGUAGACCUCUUUCAGCAGGGACGAAGCGUGAGUGACGGUACCUGCAGAAGAAGCACCGGCUAACUACGUGCCAGCCGCCGCCGUAACAC
rnacentral:rRNA from 1 species